UGGGGGAUAUUGCACAAUGGGGGAACCCUGAUGCAGCGACGCCGCGUGGGUGAAGAAGCGCCUCGGCGCGUAAAGCCCUGUCAGCAGGGAAGAAAAUGACGGUACCUGAAGAAGAAGCCCCGGCUAACUACGUGCC
rnacentral:rRNA from 1 species